CCGGCAGGGUCGGGGCGCGGGGGGCAGCAUCCCCUGCAGGGUCGGGGCGCGGAGGGCAGCAUCCCCGGCAGGGUCGGGGCGCGGGGGGCAGCAUCCCCGGCAGGGUCGGGGCGCGGGGGCAGCAUCCCCGGCAGGGUCGGGGCGCGGAGGGCAGCAUCCCCGGCAGGGUCGGGGCGCGGAGGGCAGCAUCCCCGGCAGGGUUGGGGCGCGGGGGGCAGCACCGCCGGCAGGGUCGGGGCGCGGGGGGCAGCAUCCCCUGCAGGGUCGGGGCGCGGGGGGCAGCAUCCCCGGUGGGGUCAGGGCGCAGGGGGCAGCAUCCCCGGCAGGGUCGAGGCACGGAGAGCAGCAUCCCCUGCAGGGUCGGGGCGCCGGGGGCAGCAUCCCCGGCAGGGUCGGGGCACGGGGACAGCACCACCGGCAGGGUCGGGGCGCGGGGGGACAGCACCACCGGCAGGGUCGGGGCGCGGGGGGCAGCAUCCCCGGCAGGGUCGGGGCGCCGGGGGCAGCAUCUCCGGCGGGGUCAGGGGCGGCAGGGGGGGGGGGGGGGGGGCGGGCGCAGGGGGCAGCAUCCCCGGCAGGGUCGGGGCGCGGAGGGCAGCAUCCCCGGCGGGGUCGGGCGCGGAGGGCAGCAUCCCCGGCGGGGUCGGGGCACGGAGAGCAGCAUCCCCGGCAGGGUCGGGGCUCGGAGAGCAGCAUCCCCUGCAUGGUCGGGGUGCGGGGUCAGCCUCGCAGGCAGGGUCGGGUGCGGGGUCAGCCUCGCAGUCAGGCCGGGUCCCGUCGCGGGCAGGCGCAGCCCAGGGCAAGCGGGUCUCUGCCAACUUGCCAACGAGGCUGAGAGGCAGCAGGCUGUCCGCUGAUGGCAGCAGCGAGGCCUUGAACCUGGUGCUCGGGACCCCUGGGGACCCCUCGGGCUCCCAUACCAAACUCAUCAGGACGUUGCAUCCGAGGAUGACUGAAUCUUGCCACCUGUUGGAAGUCAGACCCACCGAUCCCCACUUCGUCACUAACACCAGCGACAGGCCCACACUGGCUUUUCCUGCCUUCUUGAAUAUUGCUUGGGUUUUGCUCUUUUAA
rnacentral:lncRNA from 1 species